rnacentral:rRNA from 1 species
GUUGACCUCGGAUCAGGUAGGGAUACCCGCUGAACUUAAGCAUAUCAAUAAGCGGAGGAGGAUCA